rnacentral:rRNA from 1 species
GGAUCCAGACUUUGAUCCUGGCUCAGGAUGAACGCUAGCUACAGGCUUAACACAUGCAAGUCGAGGGGCAGCGGGAUUGAAGCUUGCUUCAAUUGCCGGCGACCGGCGCACGGGUGAGUAACGCGUAUCCAACCUUCCGUACACUCAGGGAUAGCCUUUCGAAAGAAAGAUUAAUACCUGAUGGUAUGAUGAGAUUGCAUGAUAGCAUCAUUAAAGAUUUAUCGGUGUACGAUGGGGAUGCGUUCCAUUAGGUAGUAGGCGGGGUAACGGCCCACCUAGCCAACGAUGGAUAGGGGUUCUGAGAGGAAGGUCCCCCACAUUGGAACUGAGACACGGUCCAAACUCCUACGGGAGGCAGCAGUGAGGAAUAUUGGUCAAUGGACGAGAGUCUGAACCAGCCAAGUAGCGUGAAGGAUGAAGGUCCUACGGAUUGUAAACUUCUUUUAUAAGGGAAUAAACCCUCCCACGUGUGGGAGCUUGUAUGUACCUUAUGGAUAAGCAUCGGCUAACUCCGUGCCAGCAGCCGCGGUAAUACGGAGGAUGCGAGCGUUAUCCGGAUUUAUUGGGUUUAAAGGGAGCGCAGACGGGUCGUUAAGUCAGCUGUGAAAGUUUGGGGCUCAACCUUAAAAUUGCAGUUGAUACUGGCGUCCUUGAGUGCGGUUGAGGUGUGCGGAAUUCGUGGUGUAGCGGUGAAAUGCUUAGAUAUCACGAAGAACUCCGAUUGCGAAGGCAGCACACUAAUCCGUAACUGACGCUCAUGCUCGAAAGUGUGGGUAUCAAACAGGAUUAGAUACCCUGGUAGUCCACACGGUAAACGAUGGAUACUCGCUGUUGGCGAUAUACUGUCAGCGGCUUAGCGAAAGCGUUAAGUAUCCCACCUGGGGAGUACGCCGGCAACGGUGCAACUCAAAGGAAUUGACGG